GUGCCAGCCGCCCGGUAAUACCGGCAGCCCGAGUGAUGACCGAUCUUAUUGGGCCUAAAGCGUCCGUAGCUGGCUGCGCAAGUCCGUCGGGAAAUCCACUCGCCCAACGAGUGGGCGUCCGACGGAAACUGCACAGCUUGGGACCGGAAGGCUCGAAGGGUACGUCCGGGGUAGGAGUGAAAUCCUAUAAUCCUGGACGGACCACCAAUGGGGAAACCACCUCAGGAGGAUGGACCCGACAGUGAGGGACGAAAGCUCGGGUCUCAAACCGGAUUAGAAACCCUGGUAGUCC
rnacentral:rRNA from 1 species